UGAGGAAUAUUGCGCAAUGGGGGCAACCCUGACGCAGCAACGCCGCGUGAGUGAGGAAGGUUUUCGGACCGUAAAGCUCUGUCGAGCGGGGAGAAAUGCAUGGUGGCUAAUAUCCAUCAUGCUUGACGGUACCGCUAAAGGAAGCACCGGCUAACUCCGUGCCAGCAGCCGCGGUAAUACGGGGGGUGCGAGCGUUGUUCGGAAUUAUUGGGCGUAAAGAGCGUGUAGGCGGCUGAAUAAGUCAGAUGUGAAAUCCCUGGGCUUAACCCAGGACGUGCAUUUGAAACUAUUCGGCUGGAGUAGGGGAGAGGAAAGUGGAAUUCCUGGUGUAGAGGUGAAAUUCGUAGAUAUCAGGAGGAACACCGGUGGCGAAGGCGACUUUCUGGCCCUAUACUGACGCUGAGACGCGAGAGCGUGGGUAGCAAACAG
rnacentral:rRNA from 1 species